rnacentral:lncRNA from 13 species
AUGGAACAGUCUGAAGCUAAUGGCCUCAGCCCGGACCUCUCCAAUGGAGCCAUCAUCCACAGCCCUAUAGGAACCUGUACCAACCCGGACAGACAGAGACAACGAGAUGAAGAGGAGGAGGAGGAUGUAGAACUAGCAGAGGAGGUGUUAGAACUGGGGGAGGAGGUGGGCGAGGACAUGGAGUACAUUGGGAUGGCAGGUGCAGCUGAUCAUUUCGAUGUGACGAUGCAAGCUAGCGGGAGCGGAGGAAAGGAGGGAGAGGAGGGAGAGAGGGGGAUUGAAGAGGAGGUUGGUUUACAGGAAAAGAGAGAGGGGGAUAAAGGGGAGCGGGAGCUGACCGUGACAGUUGUUGUAAUUGAAGAGGAGGAGAAAGAGCAGGAGAAAUUUGUAGAGGCUGUUGAAGAAGAGAAGUUCGCUGAGAGAGAGAAGGAGUCAGCAGGGGCGGAGAAAGAGAGAGAAAUAGAGGAGAGAGAAGCUCCUCUCCCCCCACCACCCCCUAGUUUACCUGAAACUGAGUCCAUUAAUGAUGAGGUAGAGAGGAAAGCAUUGGAGACAUCUCCAGAGGCAGAAAAGGCACAAGUCAUUUUGCCUGUUGAUGAGACAGAGAAGACAGAGGACAAUGUCGGUUUGACGACAACAGAACCGCCAGUCCCGUCAACUAAUGAUGAGGUGGAGAGUAAAGAAGAGCUGUGUACAGAGAGUCGAAAGCCAGAAACCACAUCCACUACAGAUGAGUUAACGAAGGGAGAGCAGAGUGGCGGCCAGGAUGCAGAGAUGCCCAUCAGCCAGGUGACUAAUGAUGAUGGCAUGGCGAGAGUGAGUGAUGAAAGCGGGAGUCAAGUGACCGAUGACUGUCAAACGGUGUCCACCAGUGAUGAGGUCAGAGAAACACGGCAGGAGGGAGGACAGGAAGAGGUGCCUAAACAUCAGCCAGCCAAUGACAAUGAAGGAGAGAGCGAGGAAAGUAACAAUAAAUUGGCAAAAAAUCGACAGGUUUCACAAGAAGAGAGGGAUGAUAACCAGCAGGGAAGUGAGACGAGUACAGAGAAAAAAGAGGAGGAGGUUAAAAGCCAUGUUACAGAAGAACAGGGAGAGACAACUAAAGCAGUUUUAGUGAAAAAAGAGGAGGGGCGUCAAGCGACAGAGCACCAGCCCCCGUUGUUUGUUACCAAGGAGUUCAUAGCGCUUGGAGUCGUCAAGAGUCAGGCAACCACAGCUCAACAGCCACAGGAUGUUGUCACUCCACCUGUUGAGGUAGAGGGAGGGAGCAAGAGCAAGGCACAGCCACUGAUACAGCCCAAUGAGAGUCAGGAGGGUGAGAACGGCUCUAAAGAGGAGGGAGGUUUACAACAGACAGAACAGCAGCUACAGGUGGAAGAGGGUGACAGUGAUAGGGCAGUGAAGGGAGGUGGUAGGGAGAGAGAAGAGCCGCAACAGGUUGGAGAUAAUGCGGUGGUGGGGAUGGACACAGAAGGCAGCAAAGUAGAGGAGGAGCAAAAGAAGGAGGAUAAUGUAGACAUAGCAGAGGAAGAGAGAAGAGGUGGCAGUAUGGAGGAACAGACGGAAAAGGCUUUGGAGCCUGAUUAUGCUGCCAGAGAAGAGGGGGAAGAGAAAGAAGACAAAGUUGUAGCUCAGCCACAGGUACAGAUACUCAAGGGUUCAGCAGAAGCUACACAGGAGGACGACGACAAGGAUUUAGAGCAUGUCGAGGAGGCUUUCGAGCUUGAGGAGGGAGGAGACAUGGAGAAAGAACAGCCAGGAGAGGUCAUUCUGGAUGAGCCCGGAGCUGCAGAGGUAGGAGGGGCUGAAGAGAUGGAUAAUCCAGUCCCGGUCUCAGAGAUAGGAACGGGAGGAGCAGAGGGAGGGGGUGAGUUGGAGGAACAGCCAGUGACAAACAUUGACGAUAAUCUAGACUCACAAUCAGAGGUAGCGAUUGAGAUGGCGGAAGAGCCAGAAGAUCUCAUUGAGGAUGAGUCUAAAUCUGCAUUAGAGGGAUGCAGCGAGAGAGUAGAACAGCCAGGGCCUGCCACUAAGGAUGAGCCAGUAAUGUUUGGGAAGGAAUACACAGCGAAGGAAAGAAGGAAAGAGAAGAAAGAAGAGGUGGAGCUAGGGGUCAAAAGUCGCAAAGCCAGGAUAGAGAAUGGGUUCCCUGGAACAGAGGAGGUGAAACGACAACUGCUGAAUGAGAUGCUGCUAACUCCCACAAGGCUGAGACAAGGAAAAAUGAAAGAGGAGGCGACAGUAAAAAGAGAUAGGGUGACACCCCGCAGAGGGAGCAACGACUGGAUCAAGAAGGAGGCCCCAGCGGAGGCGCAGACCCGCAGAGGGAGCAACGACUGGAUCAAGAAGGAGGCCCCAGAGGAGGUGCAGACCCGCAGAGGGAGCAACGACUGGAACAAGAAGGUGGCCCCAGAGGAGGCGCAGACCCGCAGAGGGAGCAACGACUGGAACAAGAAGGCGGCCCCAGAGGAGGCGCAAACCCGCAGAGGGAGCAACGACUGGAACAGGAAAGCGGCCCCAAAGGAGGCGCAGACCCGCAGAGGGAGCAACGACUGGAACAAGAAGGCGGCCCCAGAGGAGGCGCAGACCCGCAGAGGGAGCAACGACUGGAACAAGAAGGCGGCACCAGAGGAGGCGCAGACCCGCAGAGGGAGCAACGACUGGAACAAGAAGGCGGCCCCAGAGGAGGCGCAGACC